GCAAUUGGAGAUUAUUAGUGGCAAAAAGAAUACCAGCUUCUAUUGCAGUGACCAACAUAUAGGCUUCCUAGCUUAUGCAUGGCACUCAUGGAAUGAAGGCAGGGGUUUGGAGUUGGUUGAUGAAGUAUUGGCAGAUUCAUAUUCACC